GGAUUCUGUCGGGGGCAUUGUAGAUAGCGCCUUAACCUCCGUUCGCUCAAGACAGAAUCCCUUGCAUUCGUCCCUAAAAGUUUGAAAUCGGUCUCCACUCAAUAGAUUUGGUGUUUGUGGUGUUGAGUGCAUGUUAUGAGUUAUUGUCGUAUAGAAAAACGAUACGUUCCGGUCUAUGUGCAGCGAUUGUGUUGAUACCGCUAACGUAUAAUCACAAGCCAUAUUUCAUCAAAAUUUGAAUAAAACAACUUGGAGAUAUGUUCCGGUCUAUGUGCAGCGAUUACGCUGACACCACAAACGCAUAAUCACAAAAGGGAUAUUUCAUCAAAAUUUGAAUUAAGCAAGUUCAGUUUUAGGGGUCGAAAUAAGCCAAAAACAGAUUUUGUGGAAAG